CUGUCCCAACGCAUGAAAAGACCGCUGCCCUCACUGCCAUUUCUAAAUCGGCAUCCUCUGCGACUGUUGACAAAGGAGAAUGUGUUAUACACAGCACAAGCAGAAUUGAUAUAAGGAGAUACGCACCUAUUAAUGCAUUGUUACCGCCAAGCUCCAGCAGAGAUCUUCCAAAUCUUUGCUGAACCUUGAGAGCUACUUGUCUUCCUACGUUCGUGCUUCCAGUGAACGAAACGAGAGAGUCUCCCCGAUAUCCGGUCCACCUGUGAUCAAGGAUGCAACGGAGCCUGGGAUACCAUUACGUUCCAAGACACUCGCCAUUAUCCUGGUGGUCGCGAUAGCUACUAGAGGUGUACUUGACGCCUCUUUCCAGACGAUGGUGUUACCACAAACCAAAGCGAUAGCACUGUUCCAGCCGUAUACCUUAAGACACGACGAUCGGUGAAUUACAAGCUCUGAAGACGAGGAGUGAUCGCAAGAUUCUCUAAAAAUUAUAUUUACCGCUAUGGGAAAAUUGAACGCGGAGAUAACACCAACUACGCCUAAGGGAUUCCACGUCUCUAAGAGCGUGUGGCUCUUUCUCUCCGACGGGAAUACAGUACCGGAUAACGUCCGCGACAAGCCGACUGCGUAAUCGCAUAUGUCGAUGAACUCCUGGACCUCGCCUAUACCCUCCGGCAAUAUCUUUCCUACGGCAUGAUGCACUCUACGUUAAUUACAAACGGAUCUACACUAUAGACAUUGGUAAUUAUUUAAAGAUAGGGACCAUCCUCCAAUAAUUUUGACCUUGACAUAUGUUAUCAAGCGCAUAACCCGGAGUAACCUCCAACAAGUUUUAUAGUCGUAGCUCACUCUUCGUUAAAAAGUUAUAAUUAUAAAAAGUUGGUAAAAAUUAAAAUUUUUUUUUAAUUAUUUUAAAAAAUAUUUAUUUUACAAAAAAAAGAUUAAAUAAAAAAUAAAGCUCUUGAAAUUGUCUACAAUAAAGCUUCUAUGCAUAAUUUUCGUAAUUGCAAUGGUCCCUAUCUCUAAAUAAUUACUUAGAUAUUUUGAUAUACUGUAACUAUACAGGCUGUUACAGAGAGUAAAAUCUCAAUGCUUGAAAUAAUAAGUUUACCCAUUUCCAAGGAUA